GUCACCCACCAUGAUUACCCUUUGCUCCUUUUUGAUGUUAGAGCUGGUAAUCCUCACAGAUGAAUCAUAAUUGGGACACUCACCGGACAGAUAAUUUUCUUCUAAAUCAUGUGGCUGGCUCUCUAGAUCCAGAGGCUCAUACCUAUUCUGAAGUGGCGCCUGGCUUGGGAGUGGGGGUCAGGAGCAAUUUUUAUUAUUACAUCCUUGAGCAGGUAUCGACUCCAACUCCCCUUCAUCUACCAGGUGUCCUUCUAUUGUCUGACAGUGGGAGGCAUAAAAGAGAGUGGGAACCAAGGAGAGCAUUGCUGUCCUGUGAGACCUCAGGGAUCCUCAAGGAUCCACUGUGACACUGAAGGGCCCAAGGAUCCAAGGGACUUUGUGACACCAAGGGGUUCCAUGGAACCAAAGGGACAUUGUGACCCAGGGAAGCCUCAUGGAAACAUGGAGGUCAUUGGAACACUCUGGGGCCUCAAGGAACUGUGGUGACACCAAGCUGGGUGUGAGUGUGGAUCUGCUGGAGGGUCAGAGGGCUCUGCACAGGAACCUGGACAGGCUGGAUCCAAGGCCCAAAUCCAACAAGUGUGGAAAGCUGCAGUUGGUGGCACACCUUGUGACAGAAGCUGCACCUCGUUCUCCAGGAAAGGUUCUUGGAAAAAGCAAACAGGACUGAGGAGAAGAUUCUAGAAAAACUGAAAGAGCUUUUAAGAUAUUAAAUGAAAACUGAAACAA